rnacentral:ncRNA from 1 species
GAAAGCAUGGGGAGCGAACAGGAUUAGAUACCCUGGUAGUCCAUGCCGUAAACGAUGAGUGUUCGGCAAGAAGUUUCGCACUCUAACUCGAAACGGAUUUUGCGCAUUUAAAGCCCUUGCUUUGUUCCCCUUCCUUUAAGUUAAAGUAUUCGAAACUC